GCGCCCAUAGCUCAGCUGGAUAGAGCGUCUGACUACGAAUCAGAAGGUCGGCUGUUCGAGUCAGCCUGGGCGCG
rnacentral:tRNA from 1 species